UCUCAGCCAUGGUUGCAUACCUUCCAAGCUCCACCGCCUCUUCUUCCUCGUGGGCAGAUCCCUGAUUUUGUGUAGGACAGCACUUGAAAUGUAUUUGUGUGCUCAACAUUGGUUUCCUCUCUGGAACCUGGGAUCACUUCAGGGGUGGACACGUGGCCCAACCAUGACUGAUGAGACAUGCGGGGAAAUCUGCAGAGGCAACUUCUAGGAAAGGUUGGGCUCUUGCAGCCACCCUGUGACUAUGAGGACUAUGAAGGGCUGAAGAUUUACUCUACUUGAGAACGAACCAGGUUUUUGUAAGCUCCAGACAUUGGAUAAAGCAUUUUGAGGGAUAGGUGAAAACGAAAUCCUGCCCUUUACUCUUGAGAACUCACUCUGCUGUGGGAGGAGAGACAGGCAGCAUUCUGACCACAAUGCCAGAAGACAAUACGGAAUUACUCAGUACAUGAAGCACCAGGAAGAUGACAACAGAAGAGAGAGGACCCAGACAUUGGAAUCAGCAGCCACCAGGUGCAAUCUCCAACAUGUGCGGGCUUUGGGAAAACACAAUCGGGCAAGUGAAGUUUGUUGCAGACAAGUUCUUCUUCCCCUCUGCCACAACCUCCUCCAAGGUUACAGGGAGAGCACCCUGUCUGUGAAGAAGCAGGUUCUCAUCUGAUACCAAAUCUGCUGGCACCUUGAUCUUGGACUUCCCAGACUCCAGGACUGAAGAUCACAGAUUGACAUCAGCAGGAAAACUUGCCAGGCAGCAGGAGGAUCCAUUUGAAAACUCACGAGAAAAAGGCCCUUGAGGCCUUUUUCCUGGUUAUUGAAGACAUCUUAGGAAACACUUAUGGUGACAAUUAAUCAAGCAAAAAUAGAUCCAGUUUUUCUGAAGAUCAAGCUUAACAUGUGUGCCAUGCUUUAAAAUGUCUUUCCAGGCACUCUCUCCUGCCCACGGAUCUUGCUUGGGAAAGGAAUGGGGCAAGUGGAAAUGGCCAUUUCUUAGAUGAACACAUCAGGGACUUGCUCCAGUCUGAAGUCUAUACAGAGCUAGGCUUUGAAUCCAGUCACGUAACUGCAUAGCAGCAAAUCAGCCUUUCAGAAUAUUGCAGGAUCAGCAAUGAAAUUCCCUUUGCCAGAGAAAUGGACAAACAAGGAAGCAACAAUGGUGAUGGUGGAAGUGUUCUUCAAGUCUAAGUUUGGGUUCUAGAAACAUCUGGCCAAAUAACGUCUUUCACAACUAAAAUAGAAUAUAAAGAAGCCAUUUGACCUGCCUCAGUUAUCAUGGUCAUCAUGACAAGCUGCAGCAGGACAAAUCAGCUUAACAAUUUCGGAAACUGCCAGAAAUGCUAUUUGGAUUAAUUUUUAUUUGGGAGUUGGCUAAAACUGGUCACAUCCCCAAAUACCUCAAGAUAAACAACAUAGCAUUAUCAUACAAAUCUAUAUUCACCAAAUUAGGUUAAAAUAGGCUGUUUUGAGAAGGUUGAAUUUUUUUAUGGGGAUUAUUCCCAAAAUACGUUUAGACACAAGAAGUUCAACUUUUCUUUUUUCCAUAUUUGAUGUCAAUCAAACUAAUUACUACAUGUUUGGAAUUGCAUUAAUUGUAUUCUUCAGUUACCUAUAAAAUUUAAUUAUCAUGUCUUUAUGGAAAUUUUAAUAUCAGAUAUAAAGAAUGGCAUAUUUAAAAUGACAUUUUAAUACUUUAUAAGAAGCAACAGAAAUUCGACUUCCAAAGCACCUCUCAGUACUACCAUUGGAGUACAUCUAUAUUUUUCUGUCAGAAUACUAUCCAAAGCAAGCAUAAGUAAUCCUUAUUUUCACGAUACAUUGAUGCUCAAAAGUUGUGUGUUCAGCAUGUCUACAAAGUAAAUUACCGUAUAUUUGAAACAGCAGACUAAAACUGAAGUAACAUCUGGAAAAAAUUGCCCUAAUUGCUAGCCCCUAAAUUCAUCUGACCUUGACACUCUCAUCUGAAUUUAAAAGUGUUUUAAAUUCUUAGCCAAUCAAUUCAAGCCAGAACUGAAUUCAUAUGUCUUCAGAAACUGCUAAUCUAGAACAAUGUAACUAGAAUAGAUUCCUGAUCAAACUUUGGUUUUGUUCAGGUAUCCACUCAUUUCCUAGGUGACCCAGAGGCCACAACUCACAACUCCACCCCUUCCCGUGGCUGGUCCAGGCUGUGCAGAUCUUGUAGUCACAAAGUCCUGGCAAUGGGCUGGGGGUGGGAUCUGACCUAGUGCUGACCAACAUGUCAAAAACAGAUGGCUGCAGAACCCUCUGGAAAAGCUUCCCUCAUUCUUAAGGAAUCCUGUGAAGAGAUGGUCUGUUUCUGUCCUGUUCCCUGGAUGUCAAAUGUCUGGGUUUGAGACCCAGAACUCCUGAAGCCAUCUCACAACUACAAGGGGAGCAGAUGUAGCCACUGAGGAUGGCCAAGCAGAGGGAGGGAGGACCUUUCCUGCCAGCAUCGCCAGCGGCUGAAUCACAGCCCAGAACCCCACAGCACCCUAAACGUCCUCUUAACAAAUGUAAUACGUUGUCUUACUGUUUGUGCCUGUGUGAAAAGUCCUCUUUGCUUGCAGUGAAGGCAUCCUAGUUGAUAAACAUGAAAUUUGAAAAUUGGAGAUUUCUUGGAACCAACA
rnacentral:lncRNA from 1 species